CCCACGUCUCUGCAAUCAAACACCCUUCCACCACAGCGGCCUUCCAGGUGGACUAAGAGAGAGGAGAUGGGACAGUCAACAGAGCAGCUCCUCGGGGCUGGCUAAUUCAGGGAGGCGGAAGCAAAACUGAGAAAAAAAAUUGCUGUAAAUGCUCCAGCCUAAAGACGUUACUCUGAAACAAAUUAUUAAAAGGAAGCAAAAGAUCACAAUUCAAUAAAAGCCUUUUGAUUCUGUCCAUAACUUUGUUCUUCAAAAACAAAUCAACAAAAAUCCUGGGGACCUGACACCUAUGGUCAAUUAAUCUUUGACAAAGGAGCCCAGAACAUAAAAUGGGAAAAAGUCUAUUCAGCAAGAAUUGCUGGGAA